CCCAAAAUCAAAACAAAACCCUCUCUCUUCUUCUCUGCUUUCGUCUCUCUCUCCUUCAUAGCCACCGCCCCGAAGCAGGAGCCAGCACUGCCGCAUCACCGCUUCCGGCCCACCGCCCCAAACACGAUUCUCCCACUUCAAGUCCAAAUAUACAAAGCCUGACAUUGGCAUGGAAGAGAUCAAGGCAAUGGCAAAUACAGAGGAGAAGUAAACAGCUGCAUCAAUCAGGGUUAUGCGUCCACUGCCAAUAGUUUGAGGCCGACGUCGACGUUGGGGCCGGGGCCGGGGCAAAGCGCAGCUACAUGACGAUGCGCCUUUGGAUGUGGGUGGACCGGAUGACCUAUCCUUGCUAAAGAGUUUUCGCACACACGUGGCUAAAGCCAUUUUGGAGGAAGAAGAGAGGAGUACAUUGAGAUUGCAUCAACACUCUGGUCUUUUGGGUAGUUAGGUAGUUACAGAAGACAGGUUCAAACAAAAGGUUAUGAAUUCGGGCUUGCUUCCAAUAUAAUCUGUUAUAGUUUUUGGUUGAGACUUGAGAUCAUUGUCGUUUCAUUGCCCUUUAAUACCUGAUCUACCAACUCUUGGUUGUAAAUAUCUAUUUUCAAAACAGAUUCCCCGGAAGGAAAUGAAAGUUGCCCAUCUCAAAUGUAGGUGGACAGUUUUAGUUCA